rnacentral:rRNA from 1 species
UGCAGUCGUACGAGAACAUGUCCUUCGGGGCAUGGAGUAAGUGGCGCACGGGUGAGUAACACGUGGGUAACCUGCCCUGGGGCUCGGGAUAACCGGCCGAAAGGCCUGCUAAUACCGGAUGAGACCACAUGAGCUCCGGCUCAAGGGGUCAAAGUCGGCCUCUCGACGAAGCCGACACCACAGGAUGGGCCCGCGGACCAUUAGCUUGUUGGUGAGGUAACGGCUCACCAAGGCAAAGAUGGUUAGCUGGUCUGAGAGGAUGAUCAGCCACACUGGAACUGAGACACGGUCCAGACUCCUACGGGAGGCAGCAGCGAGGAAUAUUGCGCAAUGGGGGGAAACCCUGACGCAGCAACGCCGCGUGGGUGAAGAAGGCCUUCGGGUUGUAAAGCCCUGUCAGGCGGGAAGAAAACCUCUGCAGGUGAAUAGUCUGUGGAGCUGACGGUACCGCCAAAGGAAGCACCGGCUAAACUCCGUGCCAGCAGCCGCGGUAAAUACGGAAGGUGCAUCUGUUGUUC